rnacentral:rRNA from 1 species
UGCUUACCAUGCAGUCGCACGGGCAGCUUCGGCUGUCAGUGGCGGACGGGUGAGUAACGCGUAGGUAUCUAUCCUCGGGUGGGGGACAACCACGGGAAACUGUGGCUAAUACCGCAUGAUGACUGAGGUCCAAAGGCGCAAGUCGCCUGGGGAGGAGCCUGCGUCCGAUUAGCUUGUUGGUGGGGUAAAGGCCUACCAAGGCUCCGAUCGGUAGCUGGUCUGAGAGGAUGAUCAGCCACACUGGGACUGAGACACGGCCCAGACUCCUACGGGAGGCAGCAGUGGG